UCACUAACCUUCGGGGGUAGGUUCGGCGGCCUAACCCUUUCACAGAUCCAAAAGUCCAUCCUUUCGGGGGUAGGUUAGGCGGCCAAAGGCUGCCUCCACAGGCAGGUUCGGCGGCCAAACCUUGCUUCGGCGGCCGAACCUGGGUUCUCCAGAAUGGCAGAACCCGAUUCCGCCUUAUGCACUCAGCCACCAAACUCUCCAAAAUCGCACAUCCAUCCCUUCAAAAUAU
rnacentral:lncRNA from 1 species